CCUUAUCGAGCGCAGGGUGUUUGACUUCAGAAACACAUCCCCACGGCUUUCCUUUCCGCCUUCCUUCUGGGACUGAUUUGUUUACUUCUUUCAGAGGUUCGCCGUCCCUCUUUCUGCAGGGGUUUGCUGGAUCACAGGUCCCCAGUGCCCCGGACAUAGUGUGUGAGGAAUGCGGGUAUGAGAGAUACUAACAUAGGCAAAGUCGGCUCAUCUCAUCCAACCUCACCACCCUGUGCAUUGCAACCCCACAGUGCAAUGUAAAGAUGGGGAAACAGGCCCAGAGACUCAAGAGAAAUGAAACGAGUGGAGAUUGAGACUGAACUGGACCGGGAUCCGGGCCCCACAGCUGGGCUUGUCCCGAGGCUGUGUGCUGCCCCCGGAGCUCCUUGGAUGGAGAAGCGCUCCCUGCCCCUCCCUGCUCCAUGCCUGGCUUAGACACACGGCGGCCCUGCUCAUGCCUGAAAUUCCACCCUUAGCCACCCUCCCCUGUUUGGCAUUGCCCUCGCACCCCCUCUCGAGGGACACAGAAACCCCGCGUGUGGGUGUCCUCACUGCAGGUCUCCCUACCUGGCAGGCGGGGAAUGUUUUGGGGCAGGUGGUGGGCAAUGGAGGAGAAACAGUAAGCAGGGAUUUCAGGAAGAAGAAAACGCCAGCAAGAUCUGAUCCUGGUCCUCAAAGAGCAUGGAGACCCUCUUUAUACAAAUGGGAAUACUGAGGUAUGCAGUUCGAGAGGAUUGACCGAGGCCAUUUGGCUGGUUGAAGAGCGAUGCUGCGUGUCCAGAGCAGCGGGUGUGGGAGGCAGAGCCUGGAGCUCCCAGAGCCGGCGGCCCACGGCCUCGCCUCCAGCCAGGAGGGUGCGGAAUUCUCCCCCACCCAGCAGAGGCUCUGGCCAUCUGUCUCCAAGGAUGCGGGGGAGCGGACCGGCUGUGCCGCUCUAGGGCUGCUCCGCCUGACAGACAGCAGUGUCGACCACCCAUGUUUGCUGCACAGACUCUAGCUUCCACACCCCUCCCCACCCCAGCAGCCUGGGGAAGGAAGGCUGGAGGUCCCUGCAUGACGGGUGAGGAGAGAGGACAGGAGCCCGGUGCUCUGAACACCGCCCCAGCCCAGCUGCACGUCAGGACCCCGCACUGGCCUCUUACAUUGAGAAGCCAAGACCCACCCAAAACCCAGCUAUCAAAGUCUCUGGGGACAGCACCAGCAGGGCAGAGGGCGUUGGUUCCCUUAGAAUGUGCUAGAAGGCUCAUCCCUGCAGGAGGUGCCCCUGCAGGCAUCCUUGCCCCCACACUGCCUGGUGCUGCCCACCUGCUCACUUGCAGGUGACCCUAGUUUCUCAGUGGCUCGGCAGCCUCGCGGGCUGUUGUAACACUGACACCACGUCUGUGAGAUCAUUGGCUUGGAAGAUUCAGCUCAGAAUUGGAUAGAAGGGCCCUGCCCUGCCAGGCACAGCUGCCGGCCCUUGUCACCUGCAGCUGCAUGAGAAACUAAGGCUCAAACCAAAUCCUUCUGGACAGAAAAGCAGGUCCCCCUCCACUACCCCUUCGUCUGGGCUCUCGGUCAGCGGGGUCAGGGUGGCCGGGACAGUCACUCUCAUUUCCAGAGGAGGCGAGAGGCAGAUGAAGGCCAUGGACAGCAAGCCAUGGGGCCACAGCACAGCCUCAGGUCGUUGCUGACACACCUGCGCCUCCCACAGCCCUCCCCAGGAAAGCCGCGGCAGAGCUCACCCCACUCCCAGGGUGCUCACCUGGGACCUCCUCACCUCUGCACCUGCCCUGGGUAUCCUCAGCCGUGACCCUGGCCUGGCAGUGCCGGCGGACAGGUUGCAACCAGCCCAGCUCCCCAGGGGUGAGAGGGGCCCAUCACCGGCCACCCACAGGCAUCCCUGGGUCUGCUUUUUGGAGCAGUGUCCGGGGUUCCCUUCAUAUCCUUUAUAUCUAUGUGAACCUGACCGGCACACUCACUCCAGGCCCAGGUGUUCUGUAAACACUGAACACCAUGCUGUUAACCAAGGUUACGUUAAAAAGUGACUAUGUGGCCAGGAAAUAGAUUUUGUAUAGUUAUGUGCUGUUAGGAUAGAUACGGGUUUUCGUCUGCGGCUCCUGGCUUAUAACUCCCAUAGCACUUGUUCCCAUUUGCGUUAGAAUGUUGGGGGUGUUGAGCCUCAUGGGCAGCCUCUGCCUUCUCCUGCCCUCCUUUCACCUGCCCCAAGGCGGCACCCUAACUUUCUCCUGCCUUUCGGAUUGUGGGUCUUAAGACCCUCCCAUGAGAGGGUCCCAUCCUAUGCCAUGGGGGAAGGAAUGCUGACAUCAUGAAGCUUCCAUAAAAUCCCAAGAGGACUCGGUUCAGUGCGGUUCCUGGAGUGUGGCGCGCCCAGCAAGGAUGUGGGAGCUCUGCGUCCCUUCCUCCCACUUCGGUCUACGCAUCUCUUCAUCUGCAAUAUUCUUUUUCAUUAAUCUAUAAAUGUGUUUGCCUGA